rnacentral:sRNA from 1 species
UCCUCAUUGUCCCGCCUUUAGCGUCCAUCAAGAGGCCAGUGCAUAACACGAUGCCCCAGAUACGUCGACCAUUGAUAGAUCCCUUGUUUUUCGACGAUCGGAUUGCGCCCAUCACUCAUCCCCAUCAAAUCACAAACUGAAGUAAGCGCGCAAAUAACAGCUUUUGAAUCGCUGGGCAGUGUCCUGUCGACUGUCUUCAUCAUGCCAGAUCCAUAAUACGCAUGCAACAUGCAUAAAUGGGCGUACCUACCUGUGUCUCAACAAAGAGCCCCUUGCCAUCCAGGCUGGCGGCAGAGGAGGUCGACUUGGGCAUCUCGUCAGGGUCUGUGUCUUCUCCGGAUCCUUCAACAAGGCCUACGGUCCCAAUGGGAACAGGCUUGCCAAGGAAUGGAUGGAGCACCAGGUCUGCCAUAGGUUGACCAUUAGGAGCUAUAUGGAUGGGGCUGAGGCAAUUUAUCUCCCCCGAAAGCUGCUCAAUGUGACUUAUGUGCCCAGGGCGUGCCACACAAGAGAGGUCGCCAAGAUAUCCAUCACCCACCUCACCAUGAUCCUCCGACAUCUCAAGAAAUCUCUCACCCACUUCAUCAUGAUCCUCCUCCAACCUCUUGACUGAUCCAAAUACAAAGCCCUCCAUAUCUGACCACCAGGCAUUACUGGGCUAGAUAAGAAUGGUGCGGCGGUGGAAGCAAUCAUCAUUUUUGGCUGAACUACUUCAUCUGUUAUGCUGGCAAGAUGACAGAGCAACGGAGCAAAAGAUCGUCUUCUUCUCUCCUCGUUCUGAAAUCUCUCCCACCCACCUCCUUGACUUAGUCUUUCCCUCAUGGCUAUAGUCAAUGAUGACAAGAUGAUAGGUGAAGGGGUGGCCCAGGAGGUGAUCAAUUUUUUUUCUCUUUUUGCCCUGUAUUUGCCUGCAUGCACUACAUACGUCGUCAACUAUUUCAGUUGACGA